GCCAGAGUUACCCCAGACUUCAGCAACCACCAUCCUGAUCUGUCAGCAGCCAUCAAUCUUGAGGCAAGACGCUCCACCAGCCAGAAGAUUACAACUUGCUGAGGCUAUGAUGAUCGCAGGAAUAUUUAACAAUACAAUAUUUUAAAAUUAAGUCUUCUGUGAGAUUGCCGGGAUUAUGCAUCCAUCAUUACCAUUGAACCUCCAGCAUAUAGCACGUAUUCUAACACCAAUCAAUUAAUAAGUGUUUACUAAACGGACAAAGAAGAUGCCACACAGAUUAUACCUAUGUUAAAAGGGUACCAGCUGCUAAUUCAUGAAUGGAAGAGUUGAAAUAGUCUCAGCAAACCAUGGAGACAUGGGGAAAUUCAUCAUCGUCACAAUCAUUGAAUAUUUUUAUAUCUCAAACUGCAGUAAUAAUAUAUUCCCCAAAUUCAUGUAAUAUUUUAUGGCAAUAAUAUUGCAAUAAAAGUUUCCUGUUGCUAUUUUCUACUCCCAGAAUACUGGAAGUGUAAUAUGUUUGUCUGUAAGAUUGCUGAAGUAAUGAACACAUGUACUAAAACACACAAGGAAGAUGUCACUAAAUGCUACUUUUUGAAAAGUUUACUCUUCCAUGAGACACUUGUUCUAUUAAAAGAGUUCACUCAAGAUAAGAUAGCAGUUAUUAAAAAGUGUUAUACUCACCAAGGACACUUUUCCUCACCGACUCUACUUUCCUUUUUCUGGUAAUUAAACACUGUCUUGCAAACACUACAUUCUCCAUCGCCUUUAAGCAUGUAGGAGUAAAUUUCAUUUUCAAAACAUUCUUGCCCCAUCCAUCUUCUUUUCUAAAUGCCGAUUUGUCACUCUGAUCUCCGUCAUAUUGAAAGCCUGGAAAGGCAUCGUUUGCUCUAAUGAAAUCACUUGUGUGUUUUUCUACACCCGUGCAAUACCUGCUAACCAAUAAUAAAUAAAUGGCCUGAAGGUUAAAACACAGUACCCUUAUUUUUCUUGGUCAUCUAUUCAUAUGAUUUCAAAUAUCUAAGGUACCAGGAUGAUUUUGAUUUAUAUUUCUGGACUUGACCCUUUUGCCUCUCUAUCCUCAUGUGUUACACAGCUUUCUAUACAUACCUGAGUAGAAAUAAGACCAAAAGCUUUCCUUCCAUUCCCAUAUAUUUCUUUAUUCUAAUAAAUUUUUCAAAGAAUUUUAAUAACUUCCCAAUCU
rnacentral:lncRNA from 10 species